GACGAACGCUGGCGGCGUGCCUAAUACAUGCAAGUCGAACGCUUCUUUCCUCCCGAGUGCUUGCACUCAAUUGGAAAGAGGAGUGGCGGACGGGUGAGUAACACGUGGGUAACCUACCCAUCAGAGGGGGAUAACACUUGGAAACAGGUGCUAAUACCGCAUAACAGUUUAUGCCGCAUGGCAUAAGAGUGAAAGGCGCUUUCGGGUGUCGCUGAUGGAUGGACCCGCGGUGCAUUAGCUAGUUGGUGAGGUAACGGCUCACCAAGGCCACGAUGCAUAGCCGACCUGGGAGGGUGAUCGGCCACACUGGGACUGAGACACGGCCAGACUCCUACGGGAGGCAGCAGUAGGGAAUCUUCGGCAAUGGACGAAAGUCUGACCGAGCAACGCCGCGUGAGUGAAGAAGGUUUUCGGAUCGUAAAACUCUGUUGUUAGAGAAGAACAAGGACGUUAGUAACUGAACGUCCCCUGACGGUAUCUAACCAGAAAGCCACGGCUAACUACGU
rnacentral:rRNA from 1 species